rnacentral:tRNA from 1 species
GUGAACAUAGUUUAACUAAAAUUUUAGUUUGUGGUACUGAAGAUAGAAGCUAAAAACUUCUUGUUCACC